rnacentral:lncRNA from 1 species
UGAAAACCUCGAAAGAGGCGGCCUAGGCAAAAGUUAGGAUAUUAAAAAAAACUCACCCAUUUCGAACUGCGGAAUGACUUGAUCCUCUUCACCGAGGUACGUAGACAACUUAGAGUUUCAUUCUAAGUUUAGUCAUAUGAAUUCAAAAAUACAUAUUACCCAAGGCAUUAUUCAAAUGAGGCAUGAUGGAAUAUAAUUCACUUGAUUGACACUUGAAAAUUAGGUGUACAUGUAUUCUUUCGUUGAACUCUCUGUUUUAUCUUGAUGGCUCAAUGAGGCAACCCUUCCAUGUCGAAUUAAGGUGUUUGAUGGAAUGAUUGUAGUUAUUUUAAUAAGAGGCUAAAUAUUCAAGUUGAAGGCUCCAAUUCUAAGUCAAGUUGAUUUUGUCAAGUCUAUUACAUCAUCGAUUUGAAGUAUUCAAGCCCGUUAGGUCUUAAAGUUGCAGUAUUCAAGUCCGCCAAGUCUUCAAAUUCAUAAAUUAUUUAAAAAAACUCACUCAUUAUAAACUGCAUAAUGACUUGAUCCUCUUCACCGAGAUUGGUAUCUUUGAGACAAUUAUAGACUUUAGCAAGCUGCAAAGUUUUCAAGACCGUCAUGUCUUUGAGCUGAAUUCUUCAAGUUUGCUAAGUCGUCAAGUUGAAUUCUUUCUAUUUUCUAUAUCAUUGAUUUGAAGUCUCUAGCAUGCUAAAUCUUCAAGUUGAAGUUGAGUUAAAUUCUUCUAGUCCGCUAAGUUUUCAACUAUCCAAGUCUGCCACGUCUUCAAGUUGAAUUCUUCAAAGUGGCUACUUCUUCAAGGUUAACUCUUAUAAUUUAACCUUCAAGUUGAAUUCUUAAAAUCUACCUAAAUCUUCGAGUUGAAGUCUUCAUAUCCACCAAGUCUUCUAAAUUUUUCAAAUAUGCUAAGUGAUGAUGAGACCUUCGAAUUCGUCAAAUCUUCAAGUUAAAGUCUUCAAUUUUGGGAAGUCCUCAAAUUGAGUCAUCAAGUUAAAGUCUUCAAAUUCAUCAAGUCUAGUUAAAGCCUUCGAAUUCGCCAAAAGUUAAAAGUCUUCAAUUCUGCAAAAUUUUCAAGUUGAAUCAUCAAGUUCAGUCUUCAAAUCCACUAAGUCUUCAAGUCGAAAUCUUCAAGUAGAAGCCUUCAAGUCUGCCAUGUCUUCAAGUUGAAAUCUAUAAGUUAAAUUCUUUCAAGCACCAAGUCUUUAAUUGAAAGCCAAUAAGAAGCCCCCAUAAUAGUCUUGAAGUCUUCAAAUUGAUAUACCCUUCAAUUCUUUAGUUGGAAGUUUCACUAUAUCUCCAAGUGUAUGGUAAAAACCUUUGAUAUAGUCUGCACCAUCUUUAAAUAUUUAUAUCUUGAAUUAUUUGAAGGAAGGGUUUAAUAUAUCUUCAUAUCUUCAACUGGAAGUAUUUAAAAUGUUGGCUUGCAUGACUUGAUUUAUGUUGUAGAAAAAAGAUUUUUCGACUGUGUGGUUAUCUUUACUAAAGUAGUAUCUUUGGAAUUGAUUUCUUCUUCUACCUGCAAAAAAAAAAGGAAGGAAAAAAACCAAAUAUAUAGGAGAUCAUAAAAUUACCUAUGAAGAUUGAAGUUGAAGAGAUAUUCUUAGUGGUCAGCUUUUUGAAAAAAAAUCAUGCUUCAUACAAUCUUGAUUCAUGCAUCUAGAAAUGAGGACGAGUUUUCGUUCUUAUGCACCAAAAGGUCAAAUCUUUUGGCGAUAAAGUAAAAUCUGCAAGUUAGACUCUAUAAUGAUCUUCGUCUUGGAUAAAAUAUAGUCUUCAGCUUAGACGAUGUAGUGGUCUUAGCCUCGGACAAAGUAAAAUCUUCAGCUUAGAUGGUUGUCUUCGCCUUUGCAAAAUAGUCUUCAGCUUAGACGGUGUAAUGGUCUUAGUCUCGGACAAAGUAAAGUAUUCAGCUUAGAUAGUUGUCUUCGCCUUGGACAAAAUAUAGUCUUCAGCUUAGACGGUAUAAUGGUCUUAUCUUCAGACAAAGUAAAGUCUUCAGCUUAGAUGGUUGUCUUUUGCCUUUGCAAAAUAUAGUCCUCAGCUUAGCCGGUGUAAUAGACUUUGCCUCGUAUAAAGUAAAGUAUUUGGCUCAGACGGUGUAAUGGUCUUCACCUCAGACAAAGUAAAUUUUUGCCUCAGACGGUGUAAUGAUCUUCACCUCAGACAAAGUAAAAUCUUUGGAUCAGACGGUGUGAUGGUCUUCGCCUCAGAUAAAGAAAAGUCAAAUAUGUAAAUAAAGUAAGAUCUUUGGCUCAAACUGUGUAAUAGUCUUCACCUCAGAUAAAGUAAAUUUUUGCCUCAGACGGUGUAAUGGUCUUUGCCACAUAUAAAGAAAGUCAAAUUCUCAAAUAAAAUGAAGUCUUUAGCUUAGACGGUGUAAUGGUGUUCGCUUCAGAUAAAAUAAAUCUUUGGCUCAGACAAUGUAAUGGUCUUUGCCUCAGAUAAAAGUAAAUUCUUUGGGUUAGAUGAUAUAAUGGUCUUUGCCAUAGAUAAAGAAAGUAAAGUUUUCAAAUAAAAUGAAGUCUUUAGCUCAUACAGUGUAAUGGUAUUCGCUUCGGACAAUAAAUUUUUGGUUUAGACAGUGUAAUGAUCUUUGCCUAAGAUAAGGUAAAAUCUUUAGCUUAGACGGUGUAAUGGUCUAUGCCUCAAAUAAAAUGAAGUUAAAUCUUCAAACAAGAUAAAGUCAAUUUCUUGACGGUGUAAUGAUCUUCACCUCAGGCAAAGUAAAAUCUUUGGCUCAGACGGUGUAAUGGUUUUCGCCUUAGAUAAAGUAAAUUUUUGGCUCAGACGGUAUAAUGGUCUUUGUCUCGGAUGAAGUAAAAUCUUCAGCUUAAACAGUGUGAUGAUUUUCGCAUGGGACAAAGUAAAGUUUUUGAAUUAGACGGUGUAAUAGUCUUCACAUAUAUCAUGCAAUGUAUAGUCUUCGACUUAAAUGGUGUAAUGAUCUUUAUCUCGGACGUUGUAAAUUCUUCUACUUAGACAUCGCAAAAUCUUUGCCUUGACCAAGAAAUAAUCUUCGCCUCAAAUGGGAUAAAGUAAUUCAAAGAACUUAUAUAAUAACUAUUGUUUCCUCCUUUGAACCUGAAAAGAAAUGGCAACAAAGAGAGAAUAAAAGAAAUACAAGAGAUGGGAAGGGAUUAAAUUCCUUUCUUUCAAAGAUAAAUGCAGCAUGCAAAAGUGCAGCAAAUUCCACCAAAGAAGCUUCCCGCAAACAAUAAUGAAAGGGAAAAUCCAUACAAGACAAAAGAGAAAUAAAGAAGUCUUACAUGGAAAACUAAUAAAUAAAUUCUCCUAGUUCAAAGGAGUGAACCUGCAAAUUGUGAAGAUGAACUCAAGCUUAUGACAUCGUCAAGGGAAAACAAAUGACAGUGAGUAGAACCCGCAGAAAGAUUGGGAUGCGCUAUGAGUUUGAAGGGACUUGACUCUUAUAUACAUGCCCAAAGGAGUUCUCCUAAUCCAUUAAGAUGUGUAGUGACUAUAAUCUCUUCAACAAAAUGAGAUAUUAUCUCCUAAAAAUAGGAGGGCAGUUGCAUGGGGAGUUAUCCGUUCCCAACAAAAAAAC